rnacentral:rRNA from 1 species
GAUGAACGCUGGCGGCGUGCCUAAUACAUGCAAGUCGAGCGAACAGACGAGGAGCUUGCUCCUCUGACGUUAGCGGCGGACGGGUGAGUAACACGUGGAUAACCUACUUAUAAGACUGGGAUAACUUCGGGAAACCGGAUCUAAUACCGGAUAAUAUAUUGAACCGCAUGGUUCAAUAGUGAAAGACGGUUUUCCUGUCACUUAUAGAUGGUUCCUCGCCGCAUUAGCUAGUUGGUAGGGUAACGGCUUACCAAGGUAACGAUGCGUAGCCGACCUGAGAGGGUGAUCGGCCACACUGGAACUGAGACACGGUCCAGACUCCUACGGGAGGCAGCAGUAGGGAAUCUUCCGCAAUGGGCGAAAGCCUGACGGAGCAACGCCGCGUGAGUGAUGAAGGUCUUCGGAUCGUAAAACUCUGUUAUUAGGGAAGAACAAAUGUGUAAGUAACUAUGCACGUCCUGACGGUACCUAAUAAGAAAGCCACGGCUAACUACGU